rnacentral:rRNA from 1 species
GUCGAGCGGCGGACGGGUGAGUAACGCGUAGGAAUCUACCCAGUAGUGGGGGAUAGCCCGGGGAAACUCGGAUUAAUACCGCAUACGCCCUACGGGGGAAAGGUCCGCCGGAAAAAGAGGGGCCCGCGUCUGAUUAGCUAGUUGGUAGGGUAAUGGCCUACCAAGGCGACGAUCAGUAGCUGGUCUGAGAGGAUGAUCAGCCACACUGGGACUGAGACACGGCCCAGACUCC